AACGAACGCUGGCGGCAGGCUUAACACAUGCAAGUCGAACGCAUCCUUCGGGGUGAGUGGCAGACGGGUGAGUAACGCGUGGGAACGUGCCCUUCAGUUCGGGAUAACCCAGGGAAACUUGGGCUAAUACCGGAUACGUGCGAGAGCAGAAAGAUUUAUCGCUGAAGGAUCGGCCCGCUUCUGAUUAGGUAGUUGGUGGGGUAGUGGCCCACCAAGGCGACGAUCAGUAGCUGGUCUGAGAGGAUGAUCAGCCACAUUGGGACUGAGACACGGCCCAAACUCCUACGGGAGGCAGCAGUGGGGAAUAUUGGACAAUGGGCGCAAGCCUGAUCCAGCCAUGCCGCGUGAGUGAUGAAGGCCUUAGGGUUGUAAAGCUCUUUCGUCCGGGACGAUAAUGACGGUACCGGAAGAAGAAGCCCCGGCUAACUUCGUGCCAGCAGCCGCCGUAA
rnacentral:rRNA from 1 species